GACGAACGCUGGCGGCGGGCUUAACACAUGCAAGUCGAACGGAAACGCCCUGCUUUUUUGGUGUUCUCGGUUUGCGAAGGGGGGAGUAACACGUGAGUAACCUGCCCUUCACUUUGGGAUAACUUCACGAAAGGGAGCCUAAUACCAUAUAGCAUCUGCUGCUGCGUGGUGGGCAGUGGAAAUUUGCGGCGUGCGGGAUUGAAUUCGCCGCUGACGGAUUAGCUAGUUGGGGGGGUAAAGGCCAACCAAGGCGCGGGUACGCAGCUGGACUGGGAGGAUGGUCAGCCACACUGGAACUGAGACAGGGUCCAGACUCCUACGGGAGGGAGCAGUGGGGAAUAGGGGGCAAGGGGCGGAAGCCUGAGCCAGCCAGGCCGAGUGGGUGAAGAAGGCCGUCGGGUUGUGAAGCCCGUUUGUUGGGAAAGAAAAGCAGCAGGUUAAUACCCCGCUGUUCUGACGGUACCCAAAGAAUAAGCACCGGCUAACUUCGUG
rnacentral:rRNA from 1 species